ACAGCCAAGCAACCCAAAGUGAUUUCUGUAUUUCUCAAUCCAGCCCAAGAGUGGAUUGGCAGGAAGGGUGCAGGACCUAACCCAAUGACAAUGCUCGCAGGAGGAGCCCUCCAGAAGGCAACAGCCCCACAGGCCUCCUCACUCAGAAGUCUUUGAAGGACGCAUGUCAAGCACAGGAUGUGUGCUUUUUCCUACUGUAAACAAGCAAGUCUCUAAAAAUAUUCAUGAGAUUUUUCUACUAGGGAAAAAGAAUAAUAUUCCACUGAACUGAAGACCACAUAUGAAACAGGGGAAGGACGCUGGAAAUAAAGCUCCAUACAUAGCUCGGUACUAGUAGAUCAGCAUGUUAACUAGGUUAAUUCCCAACUGUCCUACCACCAACUACCUAGCACGAGGCUCUCAACAACCUGCAGCCAGAUCCCAGGUGGUCCCAAUGGCUACAUUCAUUGAAUACAGCCUGAGCAAUACUCUCACUCCACUCUUCACUCAGCUGACCCUGUAUUCUGUGAAUUCUGCCCUAGCUCCAAACCUCUUGGUACAAAGGAACUCUCUACGUUUAGUUCUCUCGACAACUACCUACUAUAAGAUGAAGUUUCCAGGAACUCAUGUGAUCAUGAGACUCUGCAGUCACUUCAGGGGGUCUUGUUGACUGGCUCGGGGGGCUGGUGUCAAGCCCAAGCAGAAG
ensembl:lncRNA LINC01588 long intergenic non-protein coding RNA 1588